CAGCCGGACUGGGGCGCGCGGCGCGGACGGUCCUGCCUGGCUCGGCUGCCGGCAUCAGAACGGCCCGGUGCCGCUUCGCUCGAGGCUGCAGCCGCCCUGCCCUUCCUCUCCUGGACCCCGAGGAGCGGCGCGGAAGGGGCUGAGAUGCUGCCACGGAACGCUUCGCCCCCAGCCCGGCGCGCUUUCCAGAGCCGGAAGAGGAGAUGCGGACCCAGCGGGAAGGGACCGGCAGCAGCUAUUGGGCAGCGCUGGGAGGUGGCAGCAGCCGCCUGGUGAAGGAACAGGCGUCCUGUCCCUGAAUCGCAGGAGGAGUCUGGAGAAGGAUCUAGUUUAAUCUUCGGCCCAUUGGAGGAAGCCACCGCAGCUGCACCCUGCAGACCCCCACAGACCCCCUUCAGCCUCCGCAGAAACCCCCCAAGGAAGGAGAGUGGACGGCCACCAUCUGGGGAAGUCCAUCCUGUGCUGAACAACUCCUGCAACAUUUUUCUUGCUGUCUUAUUAAAAUCUGCUUCCUGGUAAUUUGAA